UCGAGCGAACUGAUUAGAAGCUUGCUUCUAUGACGUUAGCGGCGGACGGGUGAGUAACACGUGGGCAACCUGCCUGUAAGACUGGGAUAACUUCGGGAAACCGAAGCUAAUACCGGAUAGGAUCUUCUCCUUCAUGGGAGAUGAUUGAAAGAUGGUUUCGGCUAUCACUUACAGAUGGGCCCGCGGUGCAUUAGCUAGUUGGUGAGGUAACGGCUCACCAAGGCAACGAUGCAUAGCCGACCUGAGAGGGUGAUCGGCCACACUGGGACUGAGACACGGCCCAGACUCCUACGGGAGGCAGCAGUAGGGAAUCUUCCGCAAUGGACGAAAGUCUGACGGAGCAACGCCGCGUGAGUGAUGAAGGCUUUCGGGUCGUAAAACUCUGUUGUUAGGGAAGAACAAGUACGAGAGUAACUGCUCGUACCUUGACGGUACCUAACCAGAAAGCCACGGCUAACUACGUGCCAGCAGCCGCGGUAAUACGUAGGUGGCAAGCGUUAUCCGGAAUUAUUGGGCGUAAAGCGCGCGCAGGCGGUUUCUUAAGUCUGAUGUGAAAGCCCACGGCUCAACCGUGGAGGGUCAUUGGAAACUGGGGAACUUGAGUGCAGAAGAGAAAA
rnacentral:rRNA from 1 species